AAAAGAGAAGGUAAAGCUCCCAUGGCUGCUCUCGGCCAGCCAUGGUGAGUGAGGAGAAAAUAAAUUUUUGAAUGUUUUGAGCAAAUUUCAAGUGUAGUACAAAUUCAAGGAGGUGAUAGCAACAUUGGAUUUUAAGUUGGAGAAGAAGAAAUUGCGAAAUCGGAGCAAUUGAGCGUAGAAAUUCCUCUGAGAAAAUUGUGGCUAAAAGAGCGACGAGGCGAACGGAUUUACGAAUAGUCGCUAACAGGUACAGAUAGUCGGUUUGGCGACCCUUCAGCAUAGGACUUCUACUCAGCUGUUUUGGAGAGCUCCGUUGUUCCGGAGUCUAGACCUUUGGUUCAGAUCUUAUGACGUAUAUGUAUAUGUUUACCUAGGGGUACGACGGGGCCCUGUCCCGUUAUAUUUCGCUACUAGUACUCUUAGAGGUCUGUGGACAUAUGUGUGGGUUGUGUAUAAGUUCUGUUCAGCUGUGUCUGUACGAUGUGCAAUGACAUAAUGUUCGUCUGUAGUGGCAGCCUUGUCGGCUUGCAUAUGAUAUUGAUAUGUAGUGGCAGCCUUGUCGGCUUGCGUAUCAUUUCAUGAUUUGAUU